rnacentral:rRNA from 1 species
GACAGAGGUCUCGAGCGUUAAUCGGAGUCACUGGGCUUAAAGGGUGCGUAGGCGGAUCCGCAAGUGCUUUGUGAAAUCCCAUGGCUUAACCAUGGAAUGGCUUGGCAUACUGCGGAUCUUGAGGUCGGUAGAGGCUGCUGGAACUCUAGGUGGAGCGGUGAAAUGCGUAGAUAUCUAGAGGAACGCCGAUGGUGAAGACAGGCAGCUGGGCCGAUUCUGACGCUGAGGCACGAAAGCGUGGGGAGCGAACGGG